GCUUGCACAGGUGCUGCAUGGCUGUCGUCAGCUCGUGUCGUGAGAUGUUCGGUUAAGUCCGCUAACGAGCGCAACCCUCGCUGUGUGUUACAAGUGUCACACGGUACUGCCGGUCUUAAGCCGGAGGAAGGUGGGGAUGACGUCAAGUCAGCAUGGCCUUUAUGUCCUGGGCUACACACACGCUACAAUGGCCAACACAAUAGGUUGCUAAGCCGCGAGGUGGAGCCAAUCCUCAAAGUUGGUCUCAGUUCAGAUUGCAGGCUGCAACCCGCCUGCAUGAAGAUGGAGUUGCUAGUAACCGCAGGUCAGCUAUACUGCGGUGAAUACGUUCCCGGGGCUU
rnacentral:rRNA from 1 species